AUUCCAGGAACGUUGUCAAGAAACUCUGUGAAAUAAAACUUUGAUUGACUUACAAAUUUCAUCAUAAAAUAUUACUGAGCUGAGGACACAUUUAUGAUUUUCAGUCCCAGAAGAAAUGCUUGUUGCAUCCCUGUCCUCUCAGCCUGCUGUGGGAUGCAAACUGGGGAACGUGUGGGACAUGUGCUUCUGAGCAGGCGCUGCCCAGCGGUGUGACGGGAAAUGGGGAGUUCAGCAAAAUAAGGAGGUCACCCACCUUGAAAUAAUGAUGUCUGGAAGCAAGUAUGUGGGUGCAGUAUCAACAGCACUCCUCAAGUCACAUCUGUGUGUGCUCUUUUGGGAGUGACGAUCUGGUACACAG
rnacentral:lncRNA from 1 species